rnacentral:rRNA from 12 species
ACACGACUCUCGGCAACGGAUAUCUCGGCUCUCGCAUCGAUGAAGAACGUAGCGAAAUGCGAUACCUGGUGUGAAUUGCAGAAUCCCGCGAACCAUCGAGUCUUUGAACGCAAGUUGCGCCCGAGCCAUUCGGCCGAGGGCACGCCUGCCUGGGCGUCACGC